UUUUUAUGCAUAAUACAUGUUUAUGUAAAAUAAAUUUUUAUGUCCCAUGUAAAUGUAUUGAUUUUGUGCAUUCAUGUUUAUCUUUAGUCAUCAAUUUGUAUAUACACAGUAAUAUUGCUCGAUUUUAUAGAACAAAAACUAGCCUCUCACUUAUUUACAUCAUCUGUAUUAUCAUUAAACUAUCCUCUUACUUAUACGGUAAGAGUUACAAAAGCAAUAUAAGACCACUAGCCACUCUAAUGAUAUUGAAACAACAAAAAAUAAGCUUUUGGAGACUUUAGUUUGUGGAAAUGGGUUGUACAUAUAUAAUUGAUUGUUUGGUCCAAUAGAUGAUUUGGAGGAGACUAGUAAAGCCCAAAAGGAUACAUCAGAUUGUGGAAUAUGAAGAGAAGGAGAUGAUCGGUGUUAGCACACACACACACAAAAAGGACAUGAUCGGUCAGACGAGUGAUGAUAACCAUAGCAUCAUGUCGACGAAGCCAAGCCACCGACAGUCACAGCUCACCGUACUUUGAGCAGUUGGUUGGUUUUUACCUGAAUCUGCUUCAAUUUGGAUUUGCAAGUGAUGGAUGAGCUUGAUUCUGGUGAUUUGGUUUCGAUUAAGUGAAUUUGAGGAAAAGCAAUCACAACUUUUGUUGUCUUGUCGGAAAAGAGAGAAGAAGAUUGUGUAUAAACGUAGAAUGACCGAUUUUUGGGUCACAUGAUUUCACGUUUCAACGGCCGCGUAAUGUUAAACCACGCUUUCUGCGGUCAAGAAUCGGUAUGGCGUUGAAGGCAACCGUAUUGGCUCAACUCGCCUCGGUGAGCUCACGUUUCACGAGUACUUGGCCGAUUACGUGCCUACUCGGCCGCGUUUCAGAACAAGUAUUAAGUUGGAGAUUGAUGGAUUUUGUUAGUUGAUUUGGUAGUAGAAAAUUUUAUGGCGAGAAUCGGUUUUGCAGUUAUAUUCGACUUCAAUAACAAUUAUAUGAUUUGAAAAAUAUAAUAAGAUUUUGGUUAUACAAUAAUGUGAAGGUAAUAAUGUUAUUUUUGACAAAAUACUAGGUUCUGACUAGCAUUUUAAAAUUUCAGAGAUAUUUUUCCUAACAAAAUUUAAUUAUAUAAUAUAUAGUUU